UGCAAGUCGAACGGUCUCUUCGGAGAUAGUGGCGGACGGGUGAGUAACGCGUGAGAAUCUGCAUUCAGGUCGGGGACAACCACUGGAAACGGUGGCUAAUACCGGAUAUGCCGAGAGGUGAAAGGCUUGCUGCCUGAAAAUGAGCUCGCGUCUGAUUAGCUAGUAGGUGUGGUAAAGGCGCACCUAGGCGACGAUCAGUAGCUGGUCUGAGAGGAUGAUCAGCCACACUGGGACUGAGACACGGCCCAGACUCCUACGGGAGGCAGCAGUGGGGAAUUUUCCGCAAUGGGCGAAAGCCUGACGGAGCAAUACCGCGUGAGGGAGGAAGGCUCUUGGGUUGUAAACCUCUUUUCUCAGGGAAGAAAAAAAUGACGGUACCUGAGGAAUAAGCAUCGGCUAACUCCGUGCCAGCAGCCGCGGUAAUACGGAGGAUGCAAGCGUUAUCCGGAAUGAUUGGGCGUAAAGGGUCCGCAGGUGGCUAUGUAAGUCUGCUGUUAAAGAAUGAGGCUUAACCUCAUCAGAGCAGUGGAAACUACACAGCUAGAGUGCGUUCGGGGUAGAGGGAAUUCCUGGUGUAGCGGUGAAAUGCGUAGAUAUCAGGAAGAACACCAGUGGCGAAAGCGCUCUACUAGGCCGCAACUGACACUGAGGGACGAAAGCUAGGGGAGCGAAUGGGAUUAGAUACCCCAGUAGUCCUAGCCGUAAACGAUGGAUACUAGGCGUGGCUUGUAUCGACCCGAGCCGUGCCGGAGCUAACGCGUUAAGUAUCCCGCCUGGGGAGUACGCACGCAAGUGUGAAACUCAAAGGAAUUGACGGGGGCCCGCACAAGCGGUGGAGUAUGUGGUUUAAUUCGAUGCAACGCGAAGAACCUUACCAAGACUUGACAUGUCGCGAAUCCUGCCGAAAGGUGGGGAGUGCCUUCCGGGAGCGCGAACACAGGGGGGUGCAUGGGCUUGUCGUCAGCUCCGUGUCCUUGAGAUUGUUGGGGUUAAAGUCCCCGCAACC
rnacentral:rRNA from 1 species